rnacentral:rRNA from 1 species
AACGAACGCUGGCGGCAUGCCUAAUACAUGCAAGUCGAACGAGAUCUUCGGAUCUAGUGGCGCACGGGUGCGUAACGCGUGGGAAUCUGCCCUUGGGUUCGGAAUAACAUCUGGAAACGGAUGCUAAUACCGGAUGAUGACGUAAGUCCAAAGAUUUAUCGCCCAAGGAUGAGCCCGCGUAGGAUUAGCUAGUUGGUGAGGUAAAGGCUCACCAAGGCUACGAUCCUUAGCUGGUCUGAGAGGAUGAUCAGCCACACUGGGACUGAGACACGGCCCAGACUCCUACGGGAGGCAGCAGUAGGGAAUAUUGGACAAUGGGGGCAACCCUGAUCCAGCAAUGCCGCGUGAGUGAUGAAGGCCUUAGGGUUGUAAAGCUCUUUUACCCGAGAUGAUAAUGACAGUAUCGGGAGAAUAAGCUCCGGCUAACUCCGUG